UCACGGCGCGGUUCCCUACCGGGUCUUUGGCAGCACUUCGGCGGCGGGUCCUUCACUUGCUCCGGGUAAAGGACCAGCCACCAAAAUGCCUCUGAAAGCCUGGAGCAAGUGAAGACCCCCGUGCCACCGAGGUGCUGCCGAGGACCCAGUAGGGAACCGGUUAUUAGGAUUUUGGGAGCUCAUCACUGCCCCUGAGCGAUGCAGUUGUAGUGACAUAAGUUUGUAGCGUAGCCCAGGGCUAAAGGCUUCACGUUUCACUUUAAUGACUUUUAAAAAAUACUGACCUGCUCUUUAUACUCUUGUCAACUAAACUAUUAGAAGAGAAAACAGUUUACUUAUCCUCUUAAAAUGUAAUUCAUUUAUGGGAAGAAAAGUUUCCACUCCAUAAAGGAAUACUGUCAAUUGGGAAAGUUUUAAGAUAGACUAAUUUCAAAAUCCAAGCUUCACAUCUUUAUCACGCCAUGUAUGCACAACUGCUAAAGCAAUGCACCUGAUCAAAGCAAUUACUUAGGAAGAGCUUUCCCAUUCUAAUGUGAGUUGCCUACACUAGCAAGCACAGACCUGCAACAACAGUGGUGUUCUGGUGCAGAUGAGAAGGCAUCGAUCUCGUUUCCGAGAGGCUUAGGAGCGAAUCAAAUACCACAAAGGUCCUGGAAAUUUACAAGCAUGAGCACUCUAUGAAGGAGCCAGGCCUUGAGGUGAAGAAUGACGAGGCUGGGAUGCAGAGUGUGUCCUUUGUUCUGUGAGAGGAGGACUUUUGCCAGGAGGGGGAAUGGAGGAAAGGCAUAAAGAAUGCUCCUGUCCCAGGGAAGAAGAAAAGCAUUGCCUAGGGUGUGUUGCCCUAUCCCUGCUCUGGAGCAGUAGCAUGGACAUUUCUUGUUCCAGUGAGUACCAAACUGGUCUGCGGUCACUGUCCCCCAGCAUCUGAAUAGGUCGUGAAAUACUCUGGGUUUAUUUCCCAUUGGUGGUUGUGUGGGAACUUGCUACUUAAGCCUGGUUUACACUCCCAGUUUAGGUCGAAUUUUGUAGUAUUACAUCGAAUUAACCCUGCACCCUUCCACACAACGAAGCCAUUUACUUCAACAUAAAGGGCUCUUAAAAUUGAUUUC